rnacentral:rRNA from 1 species
ACGAAGGGUGCAAGCGUUAAUCGGAAUUACUGGGCGUAAAGGGUGCGUAGGCGGUUCGUUAAGUCUGUCGUGAAAUCCCCGGGCUCAACCUGGGAAUUGCAUUGGAUACUGGCAGGCUAGAGGGCGGGAGAGGAGCGCGGAAUUCCCGGUGUAGCGGUGAAAUGCGUAGAGAUCGGGAGGAAGGCCGGUGGCGAAGGCGGCGCUCUGGAACGUACCUGACGCUGAGACACGAAAGCGUGGGGAGCAAACAGGA